GUGUAGUAUGAAAGGAGAGACGUUUAGCACUCCCCUAGACAAGGAUGGAACACAUAUAACUGGUAAGGCACUGCCACCAAGGUGGCUCUUACCACAUUUUUUU
rnacentral:ncRNA from 2 species